CCUUUAGAGUCCUGUGAGGUUGCUUUCGCAUGGCUCUGUCUGUGUGACGAAUGGGAACGCAGCACUUCAGUGCCGUGACGUACAGUCCCGUUCCACGAUGUUGGAGAACAAGCCUGUCCCCAACUCUCGGUCUGGUGUGGACAGCGUCCUGUAUAUUCCUACAUCUUCCCAGAGAGAGAGAGAACAAUAAAAUCUACUUUA